rnacentral:RNase_P_RNA from 2 species
UAGGAAAAUGAGUCUGCUGAUCAUUCUUAAUUUAGAAUGGUAGGAAAGUCUGGACACCAUAGAGCAGCAUAAUGGGUAACGCCCAUCCGUAGUAAUACGAGGACCAGUGCAACAGAAAGAAUGUACAGUUCGGCUGUAGUGAAAUCAGGUAAACUCUAUGUGGUGCAAUGCUAAGUAUAUCGGCAACUAAGGGUGGCUCGUCCAAUGCCGAGGGGUAAGCAGCUAUAAUUUUACUGCAAAGUAAAAUACAGAUAAAUAGCAGACACUUCUCCACAGAGAAGUACAGAAUCCGGCUUAUAAGUUUUCCUACUUU